GCCACCGUAGCUCAGUUGGCGGAGCGGCUGAUUCGUAAUCAGCAGGUCGGGGGUUCAAAUCCCUCCGGUGGCU
rnacentral:tRNA from 2 species